rnacentral:rRNA from 1 species
UACGGAAGGUCCGGGCGUUAUCCGGAUUUAUUGGGUUUAAAGGGAGCGCAGGCGGUGUGCUAAGCGUGACGUGAAAUGCCGGGGCUCAACCUUGGAAUUGCGUCGCGAACUGGCGCACUUGAGUGCACUCGAGGCAGGCGGAAUUCGUGGUGUAGCGGUGAAAUGCUUAGAUAUCACGAGGAACCCCGAUUGCGAAGGCAGCCUGCCGGUGUGUUACUGACGCUCAUGCUCGAAGGUGCGGGUAU